UGGGAGGUCCAGCCUGCCCAAUGAUACAUUGAAUGGCCGCGGUACUCUUACCGUGCGAAGGUAGCAUAAUCACUUGUUCAUUAAAUAUGGACUAGUAUGAACGGCAUCACGAGGGUCAUACUGUCUCCCUACUCCAAUCAAUGAAACUAUUUUUCCCGUGAAGAAACGGGAAUUAAACUAUAAGACGAGAAGACCCCAUGGAGCUUUAAACCCAGAACAUCUACCACCCACCCCAUUUUUACCUAACUAUAGUAUUCAUGUUUUCUGGUUUUUGGUUGGGGCGACCACGGAGCAAAAAAAAUCCUCCACGAUGAACAAGCUUUACUUUUACCCAUGAAGCACACUUCUAAGGACCCUUAAUAUGACAUUUCUUGACCCAAGCCUACUUGAUCAACGAACCUAGUUACCCUGGGGAUAACAGCGCAAUCCAUUUCAAGAGCCCAUAUCGACAAAUGGGUUUACGACCUCGAUGUUGGAUCAGGGUAUCCCAGUGGUGCACCCGCUACUAAAGGUUUGUUUGUUCAACAAUUAAUAACCCUACGUGAUCUGAGUUC
rnacentral:rRNA from 1 species